GCUGGGCGUGGUGGCUCACGCCUGUAAUCCCAGCAUUUUGGGAGGCUGAGGCAGGCGGAUCACCUGAGGUCAGGAGUUUGAGACCAGCCUGACCAACAUGGAGAAACCCCGUCUCUA
rnacentral:SRP_RNA from 1 species